UCCUCCUCCACUGUGCUACGUUCACAAACACCCGUUGUUUGGUUACAUGCUGCCAAAAAUGGGUCAUCCGCAGAUUCACCAAAGAGAGGCAGGAAAUGUGCAGCUUCACCUGCAGAGCAUCAGAUCCUGGCUGCAGCUCUGCUCAGGGACUCUGGACUACAGAUGAAAACUAGCCUUUGGCUAACUCUACAGGUGUAUAAUCAUCAAUAUGCACUGUCCUGAAAGGCCAGCAGCAGCAUGAAUGAGAUGCAUGGCCUGCCUUCCACCAGGAGAUGGAGACCAGGAGCCGCGCAGGGAGGCAGAACCAGCAGCAGAACCUGCAGCUGAAGAAUGCCUUUUAUGGGCAUGAAGCUCUGAACUGGGUGUGUUGCUCUGCAGCAGCUCUGUCUCAGGACAGGAGGCCCUGGCUGCUGGUUGUGACGCGCUGCCAUCUGCCCACAUCCAGCAGGCAGGACGGCUGGAGGGCCUGACAUCAGCGGCCGCUAAAACUGCAGCACUUCCUGCUCAGAAGUCUGAGAGAAUCCAUAAAGGUGUUCCUCAGGGUCUCACCUGUCUGCCUCGUGUUCCCAUGACGUGCUGAGGUUGCAUUUUAAUGCCAGGCUGUCAGAUAUCACUGCAGGCGGGCCAUUAAGACCAAAGACGCCGCUGGUUUAGAACAAGUGGACGUCCUCACAGUCCAAACAGGAGGCGGGCCUACAGGCAUCAAACAGAGGGAUAACUGUGAGUCAGAUGCAGAUCCUCUGCAGGGCAGGUUAGAGUCAGACUGAACGUCAGCAAAACGUCUGACGAUGUUUCUCUCCUCCAGGUUUGAUGGUUAUAAAUGCAGCAACUCUUCAGUAUCCCGUUCAUCUCCUUCCAACAACAGGUUUUAAUGUAGUUUAUUAUGAUUCUACAUGGCAGACCAACACAAAAUAGAAAAUAAUUCAGGAGUGGGUCAGAACUCCCUAGAACCUCCUCUGGCUGCGGGUCUCCAGACUGACGUUUCUGCUCAUUCUUCUUUGUGAACCAGCUGGAGAACAUCUGGGAUCUCCGUUCUCACAGCAUGAUACGGCCACCUCCGUGUCUCCCUGUAGGGACGGGCUGUGGGGGAUGAGUGCUGCUAGCUUUCCUUCAUAAGGUGCAACAUGCGGCCCAAACACCUCCGUUCUGGUCUCCUCUGACCAGAUCGCAUUCUUCCACCUGUUUGCUCUGUCUUCUAUAUGGCUUCUUCUGGAUUUCUUCUCACCUGCGUGACUAGUUGUCAUUCCCUGAUUCUAGAGUCCCGUGGUCCUGGUAGCUUCUCUGUUCUGGUUCCUCUGAGGCCAGAAACAGAACAUCUGCAUUUGAGCUCAGAUUCAGGUCCACACAGCUGUUUGCUGAUUCAUGACCUGCUCAGGGGAUUCUCUUCAGAGAGUCCAAAUGCACACCACACUUUUCAGAUAUUUCUCUGUAAAAAUGUUAAAACCACCAUUCAUGUUCUGUCCACUUCUCAGUUCUGACCUACUUUGUCCUAAAAUCCAGGUACAUUGAAGUUUGUGGCUGUAAUAUUGGUUUGUUGCCUGAAAAUUCAGCUAAAACAGGUUUUAUUCAACAGAACGACCCCUCAGUAAAGAGCUUCCUAUCAUGCAGCAUUUAUUUUAUUUGUUCUCCGUGGAGCAGGCAGAGACAGAAGCAGAUAUCGGAACGUCUAGUGCAGACGGGCCCGGCUCAUUUCUGGGCUCUGGCAGCUAAAGUGCUCACCAGCCUGAACUCUUCAGCUGCCAGCAAGUUGGGACUUGAGCAGCGAGUUGUCUUACUUCUUCUUUUCUCUUCCUGUCGCCCUGUGACACGCCGUGGCAGCCCUAUAUGGUAAAAUGCUCGCUGUCGAGUGACUGCACAGGAAAUCCAUCAUUUGAAUGUGAAGCUUGAAAAGAAGAAGUUGUGCUCUCUGUCCUCAUCGAUAAACUGAAUCAGUCACCCUCUGCAUGAGCGUUUCCAGAGAGGGGAUAUUAUUAUUAUUAUUAACAAUUUCUGACUACAGUCUUUGUAGAAAGGACCUUUUUAAGAAGACUUUAGUGUUGUCGUUUUCCAACCUGUGGGAAGCUUUUAGAACAGUUUUUAAUUUAUUUUCCUGCGGUCUGAGUGUUUUGCAUGUGUGCGCCAAAGAAUUUGAAUGACUCUGGGACUGAUUUUUCAUAUUCUUUGAAGAAAACCUGACCUCUUCCUGUGUCUACAUGCACCGCAAUGUUUCCCCUCAGACUGCAGCUCAGUUUCAUCUUUAAAAUGUUACCCUAGAUUCUGCAUCAAACAUCCAAAUGCAUGCAGCAACACAUUUAUGCAGAGUCGUAACUCUUCUGGCGGUUAAAGAUUCACAGAACUUCCUCAUUCUGGGUUUUUCUGUGACAGCAGCAGCCAGCAGAUCAGCUGACAGACUGUAAACGCCAGCACAUCUUUGCUGUGGUUCUGCAGUCUGCCCGCCGGUUCUCUGCAACCUGCUCAAAGAAGGAAACACUGCAAAGAGAUAAGCUUUAGUGUC